rnacentral:misc_RNA from 1 species
GCAAACUUGGUCAUUUAGAGGAAGUAAAAGUCGUAACAAGGUUUCCGUAGGUGAGUGGAAAUGAGAUUUACUUAGCGCCUUCGAUGCUUGAGUUGACCAGCGUGCUAACUGUUUUUUAGGUGAACCUGCGGAAGGAUCAUUACUGAGUGUGACCCUCUAUUAGAGGGUGCCUCCCGUCCUUGCAGGCCCCUAGGGGCUUUUAACUUUGCUUCGGCGGCACCCCCGCCGGAACAACCCCAAGAAAAUCUCGAUUAAACCGUUCAGUCCGAGGGCUUGUGAAUAAUCAAAACUUUCAACAACGGAUCUCUUGGUUCUGGCAUCGAUGAAGAACGCAGC